rnacentral:lncRNA from 1 species
CGGCCGCGCCCUUAGUCCGUGGCUCCAGCGAUGGAUGCCUGGCCGGUGUCGUCCCUUUGAGGACAACUGGACAGGCGGCCCCCAUCUGGGUGAUUCUACUGGCCAGGUUCAGGACAUCGGGGCGGGCGUGGCUGGCCCCUAUGAAGUUACCGCGCACAGUAGUGGAGAGUCGGGCGUUUAACGUUGGCGGAUGGAGUUGGGUGAGGCAGCAUUAGAUUCUCCUCAAAUCAAAGGAGAGUCCCAGCACUUUGGAUAAAAGCUCUUCAGGAUCCUACACUGAGAAGUCUUUGGAGAUUAGGGAUAGACCGAAAAAUCAAGAAAGAUGUCUAAGCAACAACCAACCCAGUUUAUAAAUCCAGAAACUCCUGGCUAUGUUGGAUUUGCAAAUCUCCCCAAUCAAGUUCACCGAAAAUCAGUGAAGAAGGGGUUCGAGUUCACUCUGAUGGUGGUCGGUGAAUCUGGUCUAGGAAAAUCAACUCUCAUAAACAGCUUAUUCUUGAC